rnacentral:rRNA from 1 species
GACGAACGCUGGCGGCGUGCUUAACACAUGCAAGUCGAACGGAAAGGCCCUGCUUUUGUGGGGUGCUCGAGUGGCGAACGGGUGAGUAACACGUGAGUAACCUGCCCUUGACUUUGGGAUAACUUCAGGAAACUGGGGCUAAUACCGGAUAGGAGCUCCUGCUGCAUGGUGGGGGUUGGAGAGUUUCGGCGGUUGGGGAUGGACUCGCGGCUUAUCAGCUUGUUGGUGGGGUAGUGGCUUACCAAGGCUUUGACGGGUAGCCGGCCUGAGAGGGUGACCGGCCACAUUGGGACUGAGAUACGGCCCAGACUCCUACGGGAGGCAGCAGUGGGGAAUAUUGCACAAUGGGCGGAAGCCUGAUGCAGCAACGCCGCGUGCGGGAUGACGGCCUUCGGGUUGUAAACCGCUUUCGCCUGUGACGAGGCGUGAGUGACGGUAAUGGGUAAAGAAGCACCGGCUAACUACGUGCCAGCAGCCGCGGUGAUACGUAGGGUGCGAGCGUUGUCCGGAUUUAUUGGGCGUAAAGGGCUCGUAGGUGGUUGAUCGCGUCGGAAGUGUAAUCUUGGGGCUUAACCCUGAGCGUGCUUUCGAUACGGGUUGACUUGAGGAAGGUAGGGGAGAAUGGAAUUCCUGGUGGAGCGGUGGAAUGCGCAGAUAUCAGGAGGAACACCAGUGGCGAAGGCGGUUCUCUGGGCCUUUCCUGACGCUGAGGAGCGAAAGCGUGGGGAGCGAACAGGCUUAGAUACCCUGGUAGUCCACGCUGUAAACGGUGGGUACUAGGUGUGGGGUCCAUUCCACGGGUUCCGUGCCGUAGCUAACGCUUUAAGUACCCCGCCUGGGGAGUACGGCCGCAAGGCUAAAACUCAAAGGAAUUGACGGGGCCCCGCACAAGCGGCGGAGCAUGCGGAUUAAUUCGAUGCAACGCGUAGAACCUUACCUGGGUUUGACAUGGAUCGGGAGUGCUCAGAGAUGGGUGUGCCUCUUUUGGGGUCGGUUCACAGGUGGUGCAUGCCUGUCGUCAGCUCGUGUCGUGAGAUGUUGGGUUAAGUCCCGCAACGAGUGCAACCCUUGUUCACUGUUGCCAGCACGUUAUGGUGGGGACUCAGUGGAGACCGCCGGGGUCAACUCGGAGGAAGGUGGGGAUGACGUCAAGUCCUCAUGCCCCUUAUGUCCAGGGCUUCACGCAUGCUACAAUGGCUGGUACAGAGAGUGGCGAGCCUGUGAGGGUGAGCGAAUCUCGGAAAGCCGGUCUCAGUUCGGAUUGGGGUCUGCAACUCGACCUCAUGAAGUCGGAGUCGCUAGUAAUCGCAGAUCAGCAACGCUGCGGUGAAUACGUUCCCGGG